rnacentral:rRNA from 1 species
GUCCUAGCCGUAAACGUUGGAUGCUAGGUGUGGGCGGACAUUGACCCCGUCUGUGCCGGAGCUAACGCAUUAAGCAUCCCGCCUGGGGAGUACGGCCGCAAGGCUAAAACUCAAAGGAAUUGACGGGGGCCCGCACAAGCGGCGGAGCAUGUGGCUUAAUUCGACGCAACGCGAAGAACCUUACCUGGGUUUGACAUGCGGGGUGAACGCGUGGAAACACGCUGCUCUUCGGAGCCCGCACAGGUGGUGCAUGGCUGUCGU